rnacentral:rRNA from 1 species
AUGCACGCUGGCGGCGUGCCUAAUCCAUGCAAGUCGAGCGAACGGACGAGAAGCUUGCUUCUCUGAUGUUAGCGGCGGACGGGUGAGUAACACGUGGAUAACCUACCUAUAAGACUGGGAUAACUUCGGGAAACCGGAGCUAAUACCGGAUAAUAUUUUGAACCGCAUGGUUCAAAAGUAAAAGACGGUCUUGCUGUCACUUAUAGAUGGAUCCGCGCUGCAUUAGCUAGUUGGUAAGGUAACGGCUUACCAAGGCAACGAUGCAUAGCCGACCUGAGAGGGUGAUCGGCCACACUGGAACUGAGACACGGUCCAGACUCCUACGGGAGGCAGCAGUAGGGAAUCUUCCGCAAUGGGCGAAAGCCUGACGGAGCAACGCCGCGUGAGUGAUGAAGGUCUUCGGAUCGUAAAACUCUGUUAUUAGGGAAGAACAUAUGUGUAAGUAACUGUGCACAUCUUGACGGUACCUAAUCAGAAAGCCACGGCUAACUACGUG